UUACUAUCAUCAGUGAUCAGUGCCAGCAUCUAGACACAACUCAGAAAAACCAAUAAUAACAAUAAUAAUAACAAAGAAAAUUAUUUCAUCCAAAUAUUUGGUACAUCAGUUUUACCCUGUGUUCACAAAAUAUGGCUGCAAUUUUCACAAUUGAAAUAAAGUAUACUCAUAGUGAUCAGACUCAUGUAUCUUUUUAUCAUCUGAUAUAUUACAGAGGUCUGUAUGACCAGUGUAGGCUCUGAACAAAACACCAAAAACCACUUCCUUUUCUUUAUUUAAACCAGAGGAAGAAGUCAGAAAAAGACGGGCGUGCAACUGCGUAGAACUGCAGAUUUGGUCUCUCAGUUCCCGUAUCCUCUGGACAUUUCUGUUCAUUUGCUGCAUUCGCCAUCACCAAAAGCCUCUGCCUCUUCUUUGCCAUCAACUGCAACUAAAAACAAGAUAUGAACAUGAAAGUCCAGCUGUUUUGUGUAGAACUCCUGUGUGCGUCACUGCUCAUCCAGUGUGCAGAGGAUGUGAAUCCCUCCACCCCCUCCCCCACCAAUUCAUCGGCCACAAACUCAUCUGAUGAGAACAUGGCGACCAGCAAGGUGAUCAGAACGAUGGUCACUGACUUCCCAAUCACAUCACCUUAUACACGUCCUCCUACUGUCAAACCAACCACUUCAGCUUCAACUGCAACACCAGCCACCAACACCAACAACUUUUUGUCUGAACUCCUGCAGGGGCAUUGUCUCCAUAUGUUCUUCGUGUGUGCUGGAUUGAUCGCGGCCUGCACAAUUUUACUCACUACCGUUUGUAUUUUAGCAUGUAAGGUGUGUCAUCUGAGCAAAAAGCUCAAGACUGUGAGAAUUGACGGUGAGCUGGCGGGUGACUCUGGCUGCUUCAUGAGUCUGUCUGAGAACAGCAAGUACAAGACAGAAGCUGAAACCAAGCUACUGACCAACACCAAUCAAGAAAAACUGGAGAUGAGCAACAGUCCCACUGUGGAGGAGGGAGGGAUCGCCAACAAGGAGGAUGGUGAACCCACCGCCACGGAAAAAAGUGACGAGGCUCCUCCGCCCAGCCCUGAAGAAGGUACUUCUUCAAAGCCACAAGGCGAAGUGACCACAUCAGAACCUCCCACUGCUCCUGCUCCACCCGAUCCUUCUGGAGGAGCAGAGCAACUCAAAGAGGUUACUGAGUGAAACCAGCGCUUUUUUUUUUUUUUUUGGCAACUAUUUCAGUUCCAGAUUGCUUGUUGUAAAAAUGCUUUUUCUUGAAGCAAGUUUUUAGGGGUGGAACAAUUCAUUUUAACAAUGAUCACAUCAGAAUUUGUGGUUUCUGAUGCAAUUCGUAGUCAAUAUUGAUUAAAUCCAGGACAUCUUUAGCUAAAGAUUUAACCAGUGUGACUCAGAGAAAUACAAGGUACAGAACAGGGCAGGUGAAGUUUUCCAGAUUCCUUGUAUUUCUUUCAAGAUAAACAUGUGCACAAUUCACCUUUUAGCUUCCCUGUUGUUUGUCCACAUCAAAAUAAUACCAAUGAAACAUUAUUAGAUCAUUAUACCAAUGUAUGGUCACAUGUAUUUGCAAAAUUCCAAGUGUUUCCACACAUAUGACUGUAAUGAUGUUUUUUUUUUUUGCUGCCAUCACACACAUUUUUUGACAUUAUAUUAAAAUAAAACUAUUGUGCUUUAAUCCAAACAGUAUUUUUCAACAUUUAUUUCAUUUUGAAACAAUUUUAUAAUAGAACCGAUCAACUUAGAGAUUGAUCAGGUUGGAUCAUAAGAAUAUAAAUCGAUUAAUUGAUUAAAUGUUACACCCGUACAAGUUGUAAAUCUGAUAAAAAAUGUAUAUCUGGUGUUUCAUAUGAUAUGGCUUUUCUGUCUACAGUAGUUUGAACUUAUAAUUCUCUGGUGUUUGCUGCAGGAACUGGUAAUGCAUAAAAGCUGAGAGCCUUCAUUUACUGUGUAGUUUGCAGCAACAUGUGUGUGUAUUUGUGAGGAAAGACUUCCUCGAUUAGCAGGCAGGGAAUGCGCCUCUCCUAGGCAGUACCACCAACCUCCCAAAGAACGCUUUGUGUCCCCGGCCUUACAAAAAACCCAAAAUAAAAAAAAGCUUUUUCAAAUUAAAAGACUGCUUCCGCUUUGGUGUGCAGAUGCUCGUCUAACUUUAUACCUGUUACUUCUUGAUGGAUGUGCAGCUUCCAAUGAAAAGCCUUAAGUGGCGCUCUCUCUGGAAAAACAACAUGUGCUGAAUGUUCAGCUUGAAUAGUGAAUCAGAGGAGGGGGGUGGUGAAAACGCGCUGACGUGGGCUGACUGUGCAAGCACCGGAAUCAGAUAAACCCGAGAUCAUGACAAAUUUGAAGGAUUCCCUAUAAGCACCCUAGAAGAUUUGGAUGACAUAAAUAACAGAAAGCUUUAAGUAGAAAUUGUGCGGUGGCGCCGCCGACGGCAGGUGAAGCUGAGACUUCCAGGCUUUCUGUAAGGAGCUUUAAGAGGAUACAAGAGUUUCGAUUCCAUCCAGAGAUUUGAAGUACAAGAAAUAGAAAAUGUGAAGCAGAUUGCAAAAGAGCGCUUUUAUUUUUUAUUUUUUUCACCGAGCAAGAACAAGAGCCCAUAAGAACCCUCUUGGCUGCUGUGGCAGCAUAAAACAGGAAAUGCAUGCUUAAGGUUUGAGUGGUCAUUAUUUAUAAGCUCAUGCACCCGUGAGCUGGAGUGUAACUGUGCAGUAUGAGUGCAGCAAUGCAGCACAGGACAGAGAGUUGGCUGUAUUGCAGAUGACAGGUGGGAUGCUGCAGAGAUGGAGAGCGCUCUUGCAAAGAAAUCUUUAUGCAUUAGCCACUACAUUUUCAAAGGUUAAAAAAAAAAAAAA